CAAAAUGGCGGGAGGUUUGAACCGUUGCUACGCCGCUGCUCGCCCUUAGCAUUUGGUCGGCAAGCUGAUCUGUCAACCUGUUAACGUGGUCGCUACAGCCUGUCUGAUAGACGGAUAACGUUAGUCCUCCCGUAAGAGGCUGGGAGGAAAAAGGAGUCGAGACUAGAUGGAGCGAUUGCCGACCCUGCGGGUGAAGCUGACCUGAAGUGCAUGUAGUGGAGGAGUAUAAGCUGACAAGCACCCCGAGGCACACAGCCAGCAGAGGGAGAGCAGGAUAGACGUGACGUGAAGGAAUCUCAGGAAGAUGGAGGUAAAGUAGAUCUUCUCUAGAAAUACUGGCAAAUAAAAUUCAGUAGAAGAGCACAAUCAGCACUGAAUAACUACCUCAAGGCCUUAUUUCUACCACUUAGUGCUUUGGUUAAAUUGAAUUAAUCGAUCCCAAACCAAAGGGCUAAAGUUGA